AUUGAACGCUGGCGGCAUGCCUUACACAUGCAAGUCGAACGCGAAAGGGGGGCAACCCCUGAGUAGAGUGGCGCACGGGUGAGUAAUGCAUCGGAACGUGUCCUGUAGCGGGGGAUAACCUAGCGAAAGCUAGGCUAAUACCGCAUACGUCCUAAGGCAGAGAGUGGGGGAUCGUACGACCUCUCACUAUAGGAGCGGCCGAUGCCGGAUUAGCUAGUUGGUCGUGUAAAAGCUCACCAAGGCGACGAGCCGUAGCUGGUCUGAGAGGAUGAUCAGCCACAAUGGGACUGAGACACGGCCCAGACUGCUACGGGAGGCAGCAGUGGGGAAUUUUGGACAAUGGGGGAAACCCUGAUCCAGCCAUGCCGCGUGAGUGAAGAAGGCCUUUGGGUUGUAAAGCUCUUUCGGCCGGGACGAAAGCGUACCUUCCAACACAAGGUGCGGAUGACGGUACCGGCAGAAGAAGGACCGGCUAACUACGUGCCAGCAGCCGCGGUAA
rnacentral:rRNA from 1 species